CUACGGGCUGCUCCAGUGAGGAAUAUUGCACAAUGGGGGGAACCCUGAUGCAGCAACGCCGCGUGGAGGAUGACGCAUUUCGGUGUGUAAACUCCUUUUAUAUGUCAAGAAAAUGACGGUAGCAUAUGAAUAAGCACCGGCUAACUCCGUGCCAGCAGCCGCGGUAAUACGGGAGGGUGCAAGCGUUACUCGGAAUCACUGGGCGUAAAGGACGCGUAGGCGGGUUGGAAAGUCAGGUGUGAAAUCCUACAGCGUAACUGUAGAACUGCACUUGAAACUUCUAAUCUAGAGUAUGGGAGGGGGAGAUGGAAUUAGUGGUGUAGGGGUAAAAUCCGUAGAUAUCACUAGGAAUACCUAAAGCGAAGGCGAUCUCCUGGAACAUUACUGACGCUAAGGCGUGAAAGCGUGGGGAGCAAACAGGAUUAGAUACCCGAGUAGUC
rnacentral:rRNA from 1 species